rnacentral:ncRNA from 2 species
AAAAUUGAUCCGUGUUUAGGUGGCUUCAAGCCAAAAAGGGAACCCCGUGAGAGUCGGGGACGGCCACGCCGCUGUAAUCGGGGACGAAACUUGCCAGACCCACUAUCCUUAUGAUCCCGCGUUUCGCGGGACUCAGGAUGGGAAGGGGCAAGAAGUAGGAUGAUCCGAAAGCCAGAAAACCUGCCUGAAUGCGCUUCACAAU